UAGCCAAAAGACUUCCUAGCACUUAACUUAACAUCCUAAAGAGACAUAGCAAAUAGCAUGAACAACUAUCUUAUUAUACUCUAGCUUCUCUAUGCCUAUCCAUACUCUUAUGCCUCUACACAAGUUGCAAUACUCAUAACCUAACAAGUUCCUUCAACCAGCUCUCACAUUGAUUCACACACACACACACACAAGGUGAAUUCUCACAAAUGGGCACAUGAUCUCAAUCAUUUGGCUAGGUAAGCAAUGGUCUAAUAUGAAUGAAGAGAAGGAUUCAAAUGUUAUCAUUUCAAGGUGGUUAUCACUCAAAAACAAGGAGCUUGAUCAUUAUGAAAAAUUUAUCUAAGACUAGAAGCAAUUCAUGCAUACAUAGAUCCAUUUUCAUCAUUCUACCCUUUUCCUAAGUGAUUACAAGUUCUACCCUUUUCAUCCCCAUCUUAAAGCCAAAAUAACACC
rnacentral:lncRNA from 1 species